CAUUUACUCGCGUACUUUAUUAGACUCUAUCGAGACCGCGCGUGCACGCAAGACUAGCGGAUUUUUUGCGAACUAACUAAGAAAAGGAUAAGUUAGAUCCGCCUGGGGCGUCGCCGUACCGACCGUGGAUUACCUGUUUCCUUUCGUAUCCGUAUCUCCGAUUUACCUCGCUCUUUUUUCUCAAACAUUUAUCUAGGUUUCUCCGUCGAGUAGCCUUUUACGCGAUAUUUAUUACGACCGAUAUACGCCCCGGCUGUCGAGGGAAUAUCCCUCGUUAUCACGCCACUUAAGGUCCAACGAUUAUGCGACACCUCUCGGUUGCCGAUUAUCGACAGGAACGUUUCCAUGCGGGCUCCGGUUUUGGCAUUGGAGUUUCAAAACGGCGGAUAGUAACACCUGCGACAACCGUAAUUCCCUGAAAUAAUAUCCCCCCCCCCCCCCGUCUCAGUUUGCUUAACGAUCUUGAAAGUCUGGCAGCUAUUCGCCAAGUUAUUAUUACGUAGAUAAUCGCGUAGUUUAUUUAUGUGUCGCCUAAGUUUCACACCGAGCCACAGAUAAUCCACGAUCUGAAACACGUUCGAUCGUUUCUUCGUUCGAGACGAUAUAGAGAACAUUUGUCAUUUCAAAAUGUCAAAUUAUUCCUUUACGGCUCCAAAACUGAUUCCGUAUCGCGUUUAUAUUAACCCCCUUGAGCUGGCAACUGGUUCGCGGACCAUAACGAGUGACCGAACCGUAUACAAUAACUCGUCGCUUUCUUUUUCUUUUAAACUCGUCGGUACGAUAUCACUGGAUAGAAAUCAUUAAGAAGUAAUAAACCUAUCAUUUGUCUUGCCUAGGUUACGUUUAAAUAUACUUAAAAUUGAGGAAAUGUUGCAAUUUGGAACAAAAAAAUUCUCGACGUGCGUGGCACGUCACUCCAGCGCAAGAAACCACGAUAUGUAACGAAAGGCUGUGCGAAUUGACAUGCGUCGGCGACGCAUCAUUCGAGAAGAGGUAAUUCCGUGUAAUUACGCAGAAACAUGACGUUACGGUAAGUCGUCGUGCAAUUUCGACACGUCGGCUUGGAAGCAUCAUCGUUCCUCGUUGCUUAGAGCUGCGGCAACAAUGGCGCCGAACGAUAAAACUUCGAACAGCAGCGUAAGUACGUGCCAUGCGGCGUGACACCGAUGGCCGUGCAAUCACGUGGAACCAAUAUAGGUACUCACAACUUCUACGCAUACGCGCGGAGAGCACCAGACGAAGAAAGCGAAUGUCUCACGUGGUGAAGGGAGGGAAGGGGAUAGAGAAACAGUGAAGAAGAGAAAGACGACGAUCGACGAAGACAGGACAAUGCCGGGGUUCGACGGAGAAAGAGGGAGAGUGGAAAGAAACUGCAGAUACGAAACGCAGUGGAAGAGAAGAUACAGAACGCGACAGAGAGGUCAGGAGCGCAGACAGAGAAUGACAGAUAAGAGACGAGGCUAGAAAGCCUGGAAGGGAGUGGGGAUCGCGAGACAAAGACGAAAAUACGAGCGAGAAAGAGAGACGCAACACGGAGGAGGAGGGGGAGAACAACAUGUCUCUAGAAAUGACCUCGUGCGGCAGACGGAGCAACGGGAAGAGUGAAACCAUCCGGACGAGGAGGAAAGACGAACAUACCGUAAACGAGCGGGACGACAAGAAAAAAAGAAAUUACGAUUCUCGCGUAAAAAUGAAGUAAUAUAAAAUGCGUGUGAACUCGAGCGGGCGAAGGGGAAAGAAGGGAAGGAAAUACGAUACUCUGGAAAUGAUAUACGCAUGCCGUCCGCGUAUUGGAAAGAAACAAACAGAUCGCAUAGUGCGCUCGUCGAUUUUUCUCCAAUUUGUUAUGCACUUCUCUGGUGCCAGAACGGAUAACACACGGUCUAGAAUAGAAAAGCGGACACAUGUGAACACGCGGUAAUUUACCGUUUUUUUUUUUUUUUUACAUUUAAAUGCAUCUACAUAUGUGAAAUCAUUUGAACCAUUUGACAGGUUAGUUUCGACGAUCUAUUGAAAAGUGUAAUGGAAACGAUCUGAAAACGAGAAUUGGAAAGCACUGGAUCGCAUUGAAAUAUAAUUCGUACGACUUGCGUCCCGAUAUAAAUUACAAUGUACGCACGGCUGUUUACUUCUAAUUUGUCACGCAUGCUCGGAAAUGAUUCGUGCAAGAGAUGUUGGCACAAAAUAUCCCGAUGUUCGUUCUUGCAUCACUCUUACAAGAUUGUCGAAGUACGACUUGUUUUGCGUGUAAUAAUAAUUUAUCAAUUGGCAAAUCACUAUUAGAAAAUUAUUAAAAAUAAUAAGCACGUGAAAAUCGGUAAGGAGGUAAUUCCAUAUA